rnacentral:rRNA from 1 species
CCUACGGGUGGCAGCAGUGGGGAAUAUUGCACAAUGGGGGAAACCCUGAUGCAGCGACGCCGCGUGAAGGAAGAAGUAUUUCGGUAUGUAACCUUCUAUCAGCAGGGAAGAAAAUGACGGUACCUGACUAAGCAGCCCCGGCUAACUACGUGCCAGCAGCCGCGGUAAUACGUAGGGGGCAAGCGUUAUCCGGAUUUACUGGGUUUAAAGGGUGCGCAGGCGGGAGAUCAAGUCAGCGGUAAAAUGUCGGGGCUCAACCCCGGCCGGCCGUUGAAACUGGUUUUCUAGAGUUGGAGAGAAGUAUGCGGAAUUCGUGGUGUAGCGGUGAAAUGCAUAGAUAUCACGAAGAACUCCGAUUGCGAAGGCAGCAUACCGGAUCCAGACUGACGCUGAGGCACGAAAGCGUGGGGAUCGAACAGGAUUAGAUACCCUAGUAGUC